rnacentral:lncRNA from 1 species
CAAUAUUUUGUUAGUGCACCAGAUCCGGAUUUCGACAAUAAAUGUCUCUUCAGUGAUGUUAGGGAUCGAAACGGUAUUUGGAAGGCCAUAUAAAAAGUACCCUCAUUUUUAGAAAAAGUACCCUCAUUUUUAGAUAGACUCUUGAAUUUUAAGAGUCAAUAUAGGAUGAACGGAUCAUAUAAACCGGAGGGAAAAUAUGAUACAAGCCCAA